UACAGAGGUCUCAAGCGUUGUUCGGAUUCAUUGGGCGUAAAGGGCGCGCAGGCGGCCCGGAACGUCGGAUGUGAAAACUCGAGGCUCAACCUCGAGCGUGCACCCGAUACUGCCGGGCUUGAGGCAGGUAGGGGAGAUCGGAAUUCCUGGUGUAGCGGUGAAAUGCGCAGAUAUCAGGAGGAACACCGGUGGCGAAAGCGGCUUACUGGGUCUCUUCUGACGCUGAGGUACGAAAGCAUGGGGAGCGAACAGG
rnacentral:rRNA from 1 species